rnacentral:rRNA from 1 species
CUACGGGUCGCACCAGUGAGGAAUAUUGGUCAAUGGGCGAAAGCCUGAACCAGCCAUGCCGCGUGAAGGAUGACGGCCCUAUGGGUUGUAAACUUCUUUUGUAAGGGAAGAAACCACUCUACGUGUAGAGUUCUGACGGUACCUUACGAAUAAGCAUCGGCUAACUCCGUGCCAGCAGCCGCGGUAAUACGGAGGAUGCAAGCGUUAUCCGGAUUUAUUGGGUUUAAAGGGUGCGUAGGCGGAAAAUUAAGUCAGUGAUGAAAUCCUGCAGCUUAACUGUAGAACUGUUAUUGAUACUGGUUUUCUUGAAUGUAGUUGAGGUAGGCGGAAUGAGUAAUGUAGCGGUGAAAUGCUUAGAUAUUACUCAGAACACCGAUUGCGAAGGCAGCUUACUAAGCUACGAUUGACGCUGAGGCACGAAAGCGUGGGGAGCGAACAGGAUUAGAUACCCUCGUAGUC